rfam:Prunus persica cultivar Lovell chromosome G5, whole genome shotgun sequence.
UGCCAAUGAUGCAGUUAAAAUGCACGUAUUAGCAGAGAUAAUUAUGAUGAUAUAUGCUAUUGUCACUACCUCUGAGGCA